GUGGAGUUCUGUUCCAUUCUGGGGGGAAGUUUAUUUUGAGUUGUGCUGAUGACAAGACCCUACGCGUAUGGGAUUACAAGAACAAGCGAUGCAUGAAGACCCUCAAUGCGCAUGAACACUUUGUUACCUCCUUGGAUUUCCACAAGACGGCACCCUAUGUCGUCACUGGCAGCGUAGAUCAAACAGUAAAAGUGUGGGAGUGCCGUUGAUUGUGUCUCCUUCGGCCCCUCCUCCCUCUUUUCCUCUGGAUGCACUCUGAUGAUACCAUGGUUACCCCAUUGAGCUCUGUUUAAAUAAAUAUUGUCCUUUCAUGUAAAUUAUUCUGGAUGUAGAUUGAGCUUAUUAAAUGUUACACACAAAGUAUUCAUGCAUGGUGAAUCCAAAUUGUAUACUGUAAAUUUACAUACGUUGUCUAGAAGUACCAUAGGGUUUAAAAACCUGGGCUGGCAUUGGUCACACCAGGCCUAAGAAGGCAGAAGUUGAAUCAAUUGAACUAGGGCACUAAACUGAAUAGUUGACAGUGUCAUUUUAUGUUGGAUUAUUAAUUCCUGUUUUUCUUUCUGCUAUCUGUUGGUGCCUGACUUGAUGGCCUCAUUUGGGGAAAAGUGGUGGUUAUUAGGGCUUUUUCUGAAAUGUGUAUCUAUGUAACAUCACUUAAGUGUGCUUAAUAAAUCUUCUGUAAGGAUUUUAGAUGAUAAGGCUACAAUUCAGAAUCUUCUGAACCAUCUAUGUAAUGAAUGGGGAUUAUACAUUGGAAUUUUUGUCAUGACACAUUUGCCAAAUCAGUAGGAUAUAUUUGUUUUGGCAGCCUAUCACGCAGAGGCUAGUGGUAUAUUUAUGUAAGAAAAUGACUGUAAAUCUCAAGAAAAAUCUCAGCAGCUAAUAGCAACUCAUUUAUUUCAUUUUGGUCUUAAUGCUUUGUAAACAGGUCAAAAAAUACUGUCAUACUCUAAGCUUCUAUUUUCCACACUGGACAUACUUCUAGUUGUAUUCUCCAUACUAUUAGACUGUGUAGUGAUGUGACUUCCAAGUAGAAUUUAAUCUCCCCAUUGAGUGUGUCAUGGUACAAAUCACUAUUCGUUUUUGGUGUUUUUUAGGGAUGUGCAAUGUGCAUUACAUAAUGACAGAAAUACUGAGAAGGUUCUGUGUGCCCAUUUGAAAGGAGUGGGAGGAAUACAGCAGUUUGUUUUUCAACAUGAAUCUGAUAUUGAUUUAAACUGUGUUUCACUUACAAGUUUUAAAAAAAUGACAGGGUUUAAUGGAGCGUGCAU
rnacentral:lncRNA from 1 species